CCAUCGGUGUCUCUCUCUCAACAAAUCACAAAAUUCCCAAUUCAACACGCACAACCCUAAUCCAUUCUCCCUCCUCUCUCUCUCGGCGGUAUCGCCUCAUUCUCACCGCCACCGUCGACGCCUCUCGCCGGAUUAUGAGCUCGAUCUCUCAGCUGCUACACAGCACCGCCGCCCGAAGCCGGCCCUGGACCGGUGACAGCCGGUGUUGUUGCGUACGUGAGCUCAGCGAGGCAGCACCGCCGUCGCAGUCAGACACUCCGUAAGGCGGGGUUGUCGCCUGUGCUCCUCCGCCGCUCUCCGUUGAAAACGCGGAGGAGUUCUCGGCAUCACCGUCGCGCCAGCCAGUUCCGCCGUCGCCGCACGGCUGAGGCCUCGCCGCUUCCCGACGCGGUGGAACAGCCGUUACUGCCCCGGUUAGGGAGAAGGCGUCGCCUUUCCCUUCCUCCGGUUCCUCUCUAUAAGCUAAGUUUUUGCUGCCUUCCUUUGCUUAGCUCAAAUCGGGGUUUAUUUAGCAACCUAUGUAACAAUCGAUUCUUGACUAUUGGUGAUUUCAAGCUUUGAUCUUGUGGGAGUUUGAUUAUUGAAUCCAUUAAUUGAGUUUGUGGCAGAAGCUCUAUAUUGUGAUUAAUGGGGAUUUCUUGAACUUGUUGGGAUUUAUUUGUUUGCUCACUGGAAAGAGCUUAACCCUUAAAAGAACUUGCUACAAAACUAUAGCAUAAAGGCAGCCUAUCGUGCUUGUUUUAUAUUGAUUGUGAUUCCUAAGUUGUGGUGACUCUAUAUGAUGGCAUGAAAAAUGAUUGGGAGGAAAGGGUGGAGGUGUAUUACCUCUGAAAAUUGAGGGAGUGGCUGACUUGCUGCUGCUCACUACUUGCUCUACCCUCUAACUCUCUGUUUUUGCUGAAUUUUGAAGUGUGGGUGAAAGGAGUUGGUGUGUGGUAUGGAGGGGCCUUUAUAGGCAGAUUGUGGGGUACUCUUGAGCCUUAAAUGGCUGCUGUAUCGUUUGUUGCUAUGCUGCAGAAAUCUCACUUUUAGUGAUCUCCUUGUCUCUCCUUCAUGGCUGCAAAACUUGCAUCUUUAUGGGUACCUAGUACUAGUUAUUAAUUGGGGUUGUUUGAUUGUGCAGAGAAGCAGGUGGCUGUUGUGCCAAAGGAGCUGCAGGGCUGACUUGCCUCUUAUGGUGAUUCUUUGGUCAUCUAUAACUAAAGAAAAGUUGUCUCCAUCCCUAUGGUCGAGAAAAACUUGGUUGCCAAGCUGCUAUCCGGGACAGCUUGAUACCCCGGCCCAACGGCUGAUCGGAAAACGGCCGCAACUUUCGGCCCGGAAAAAGAGACCCGAUGCCAUUUGUUCCAUGCACAUUUAUCUUUCCCUUUCUUUGUUUCCUUUAUUGGAAGCCUUGUUCUAAGUAUUGUAGUAUUUUGAAGAUUAGUUGUUCGUUUAUUGAGUAAGAAUUGCUAUUCGAAAAUUCCUGACAUUCUACAAUGUAAAUUCCAAUUGUUUAGUUCAUUUGAUUUUCACUUCAA